rnacentral:rRNA from 1 species
GACGAACCGUGCGAACGUUAUUCGGAAUCACUGGCUUAAAGCGCGUGUAGGCGGGCCGGCACGUCGGCGGCUGAAAUCCCCCGGCUCAACCGGGGAAGGGGCCCCGAUACGACCGGCCUGGAGGGGGUAGGGGGAUGGGAACUUCCGGUGGAGCGGUGAAAUGCGUUGAGAGUCGGAAGGAACGCCCGCGGCGAAAGCGCGUCCCUGGACCCCACCUGACGCUGAGACGCGAAAGCC